CCCUUAGAUGUUCUGGGCCGCACGCGUGCUACACUGAGUGGAUCAGCGGGUCAGGUUGCGCGAAAGUUUUUCCUAAUCUUGAAAUCCGCUCGUGAUGGGGAUUGACGGUUGCAAUUUUCCGUCAUGAACGAGGAAUACCUUGUAAGCGCGGGUCAUCAUCCCGCGCUGAAUACGUCCCUGCCCUUUGUACACACCGCCCGUCGCUCCUACCGAUUGAGUGGUCCGGUGAGGCUUUGGGAUCUGAGCAAAGAGAGCGUUUCGCUCGUUUUGCCCGGAAAACUCAGUCGAACCUUAUCAUUUAGAGGAAGGAGAAGUCGUAACA
rnacentral:rRNA from 1 species